rnacentral:rRNA from 1 species
GACGAACGCUGGCGGCGUGCUUAACACAUGCAAGUCGAACGGAAAGGCCCUGCUUUUGUGGGGUGCUCGAGUGGCGAACGGGUGAGUAACACGUGAGUAACCUGCCCUUGACUUUGGGAUAACUUCAGGAAACUGGGGCUAAUACCGGAUAGGAGCUCCUGCUGCAUGGUGGGGGUUGGAAAGUUUCGGCGGUUGGGGAUGGACUCGCGGCUUAUCAGCUUGUUGGUGGGGUAGUGGCUUACCAAGGCUUUGACGGGUAGCCGGCCUGAGAGGGGGACCGGCCACAUUGGGACUGAGAUACGGACCAGAAUCCUACGGGAGGCAGCAGUGGGGAAUAUUGCACAAUGGGCGGAAGCCUGAUGCAGCAACGCCGCGUGCGGGAUGACGGCUUUCGGGUUGUAAACCGCUUUCGCCUGUGACGAAGCGUGAGUGACGGUAAUGGGUAAAGAAGCACCGGCUAACUACGUG